rnacentral:rRNA from 1 species
CCUACGGGAGGCAGCAGUGGGGAAUAUUGCACAAUGGGCGAAACCCUGAUCCAGCGACGCCGCGUGAGUGAAGAAGUAUUUCGGUAUGUAAAGCUCUAUCAGCAGGGAAGCAAAUGACGGUACCUGUUUAAGAAGCCCCGGCUAACUACGUGCCAGCAGCCGCGGUAAUACGUAGGGGGCAAGCGUUAUCCGGAUUUACUGGGUGUUAAUGGAGCGUUGACGGGAGCACAAGUCUGGAGUGAAAUGCCGGGGGUUAACCGCGGAACUUCCGUGGAAACUGUGCAGCUGGAGUGCAGGAGAGGUAAGCGGAAUGCGUAGUGUAGCGGUGAAAUGCGUAGAUAGUAGGAGGAACACCAGUGGCGAAGGCAGCUUACUGG